GCUCGCCGGGGUUCUCCGGGACGAACGCCGGCCCCGGCACAGCCUCUGGGCUGCCUGAGAGGGGGAGUCAGGGACCACCGCGACCCUUAGAUAUUCUGCCCCUCGUCCCAAGAGCAAGAAACAGGGGGCAUUUAUUUUUCAAUGAUCCGGUGUAUUUCCUACGAACUAGGCACACCUGUAAUAACACCUCUCCACAGACAGGCAGAAACGGAGGAGUUAUGACUGGGAUCUGGACAGCGACAGAGCCAAAUCCUGUGAACCCCUCCCCCUUCACCAGGCCGUUAGAGUCAGCCAUGGGCCUAAUCUAUGCAUUUCAUGGUGAAAUUGGAAGCUUUUUCAUCUCGUACAUUAAAAGUUGAAAUAUUUUUGGCUGUUAGGAUAUGCGGUAUAUGGUGAGGCCCUGAGUUUGAUUUGAGCCCUAGCACUGCUGAAUAAAAAAAAAAAACACGGAUUUAAAAACAGGCAAAGGAGUUGAAGUUUUUCCCAAAGAUUAUGUACAAGUGAAUGGCUAACAGGCAUAGCAGAAGCUGUGUAAUAUCACUAAUCAUUAGGGAAAUGCCUAAUUUUAAACAUG
rnacentral:lncRNA from 1 species